rnacentral:rRNA from 1 species
AAUACGGGGGGAGCAAGCGUUGUUCGGAAUCACUGGGCGUAAAGGGCGUGUAGGCGGCCACGCAAGUCGGGGGUGAAAUCCACUGGCUCAACCAGUGACGUGCCUUCGAAACUGCAUGGCUUGAGUAUGGCAGAGGGAAGCGGAAUUCCAGGUGUAGCGGUGAAAUGCGUAGAUAUCUGGAAGAACACCGGUGGCGUAGGCGGCUUCCUGGGCCAAUACUGACGCUGAGGCGCGAAAGCCAGGGGAGCGAACGG